rnacentral:tRNA from 1 species
GCGCUCGUAGCUCAGUAGGAUAGAGCGUCCCCCUCCUAAGGGGAAGGCCGGGGGUUCGAUUCCUCUCGGGCGCACCA